AGUGCAGUGCUAUACCUUAACAUAGAUUUGCGUUAGUCGUAGCGCUACCAUCACUUUGUGAGACGGAGCCCAGUUUGACUUCAGCCCUUUCAUCACAAAUAUGUUUGUCUGAUAACUCAGUCAACGUAGAUAAAUCUAAUAGCAAUCGAUCACAUACUCUCUCACGUUCACAAGAGGCAAUAACGUCAAUGUCUAGACUAAUAUUGGAUAUGAGUACCAGAUUGAAACAAACAGUAUUAAAGUAUUAAACUAAGACUGGGAUACCGACAUGUAAUUGAAUAUAACAUUAAACGACUCUAUCGUGUGCUGAAAGAGAUUUCGAUGGACGUGAGAGGGAAACGGUGUCCUUGUGUCAACUGUUUCGUGGAGAUUUAACUAAAUACGUACUUCGCAGCACAAACAAAUGAAAAUAAACUCUAACUCACAAGAAGGUUCAUGUCGGUUCAGAUGACUGAGGCAAUAAAACGGACAAAAAGCUGGAAAAGAAACAUUAUUGGUCUUAAAGAUGACCUGUCUGAUGAACUCAUGAACUAAAAAUAAAAACAGUGUUUUAUCAGGUGAAAAAUCGAGUCAAAAUGCUACAAUACAAUUGAGAAUGUUAUUGAGUGAUCGUUGCAAUGAAUUUAUAUUGAAGACAAAGGUAACAUUGAUACUGAAGACACAGGUAACAUAGAUACUGAAGACAAAGGUAACAUUGAUAUUGAAGACAAAGGUAACAUUGAUAUUAAAGACAAAGGUAACAUUGAUAUUGAAGACAAAGGUAACAUUGAUAUUGAAGACAAAGGUAACAUUGAUAUUGAAGACAAAGGUUACAUUGAUAUUGAAGACAAAGGUAACAUUGAUAUUGAAGACAAAGGUAACAUUGAUAAAGGUAACAUUCAUAUUGAAGACAAAUGUAACAUUGAUAUUGAAGACAAAGGUAACAUUGAUAUUGAAGACAGAGGUAACAUUGAUAUUUCAGGAAGAGGUAACAUUGAUAUUAAAUAUAUAGGCAACAUUGAUGCUAAGGACAGAGGUAACAUUAAUUUUGGAUACAAACAACAUUUAAGCUGAUAAUCGAGGUAACAUUAAUAUUGAAGAUUGAGAUAAAAUUGAUAUAUAAUUUAUUGAAAUAUAAUUGUUAUUGUAGAUAGAGAUAACAUUGUUAUUAAAGAUAUUGAGAUGUUGCAGGGAGAUUUGAAAAGUCGGAGGUGUGUGUUGAUAUUAACGCUUGUUGCUUGUUUGUAGUUUGCACCUCGUUGUUGUUGUUUGGCAGUCUUGUUGUUAUCUGGUUAUUGUUUACUUUAAUAAACUGUUUUCAACCCGA